CCUACGGGCGGCAGCAGUAGGGAAUUUUCGUCAAUGGGCGCAAGCCUGAACGAGCAAUGCCGCGUGAACGAGGAAGGUCUUCGGAUCGUAAAGUUCUGUUGAAGGGGACAAAGAGCGGAGAGAGGAAAUGCUUUCUGAUUGAUAUUACCCUUCGAGGAAGUCCCGGCUAACUACGUGCCAGCAGCUGCGGUAAUACGUAGGUGGCGAGCGUUGUCCGGAAUGAUUGGGCGUAAAGGGUGCGUGGGCGGCCGGCUAAGUCUGGGGUGAAAGGUACGGGCUCAACCGGUACAGGCUCUGGAAACUGGCGGGCUGGAGAGCAGGAGAGGGCGGUGGAAGUCCAGGUGUAGCGGUAAAAGGCGUAGAUAUAAGGAAGAACACCAGUGGCGAAGGCGGCCGCCUGGCCUGUUACUGACGCUGAGGCACGAAAGCGUGGGGAGCAAAUAGGAUUAGAUACCCUUGUAGUC
rnacentral:rRNA from 1 species